UAAAGUGAUUAAAUAUUACCUUUAGGUUACCGUGAUCAUGAAGGCGGUUCCUCCAGGGUGAGGCUCUUCCAUUGCACUACGGUUGGGCUGACCUCUGCGAAUACCCCUAAUGUGGGUAUCUCGGACCACAGAGGUUUGCGUGAUCAUAAAGCGAUAACUCGAGAGGCGAGUCUCAGGCAUCGCUUG
rnacentral:lncRNA from 1 species